UCGGGAAUUUUGGGCAAUGGGCGAAAGCCUGACCCAGCAACGCCGCGUGAAGGAUGAAGUAUUUCGGUAUGUAAACUUCGAAAGAAUAGGAAGAAUAAAUGACGGUACUAUUUAUAAGGUCCGGCUAACUACGUGCCAGCAGCCGCGGUAAUACGUAGGGACCAAGCGUUGUUCGGAUUUACUGGGCGUAAAGGGCGCGUAGGCGGCAUGACAAGUCACUUGUGAAAUCUCUGGGCUUAACCCAGAACGGCCAAGUGAUACUGUCGCGCUAGAGUGCAGAAGGGGCAAUCGGAAUUCUUGGUGUAGCGGUGAAAUGCGUAGAUAUCAAGAGGAACACCUGAGGUGAAGACGGGUUGCUGGGCUGACACUGACGCUGAGGCGCGAAAGCCAGGGGAGCAAACGGGAUUAGAUACCCUGGUAGUCCCUGAGCGGGCUGGCAAGGCGCAU
rnacentral:rRNA from 1 species